rnacentral:rRNA from 1 species
CCCUUAGAUGUUCUGGGCCGCACGCGCGCUACACUGACAGAGCCAGCGAGUUUUUUUCCUUGGCCGGAAGGUCUGGGUAAUCUUGUGAAACUCUGUCGUGCUGGGGAUAGAGCAUUGCAAUUAUUGCUCUUCAACGAGGAAUACCUAGUAAGCGUGAGUCAUCAGCUCGCGUUGAUUACGUCCCUGCCCUUUGUACACACCGCCCGUCGCUACUACCGAUUGAAUGGCUUAGUGAGGUCUUGGGAUUGGCUUCGAGGAACCGGCAACGGUACCUUGUUGCUGAGAACUCGAUCAAACUUGGUCAUUUAGAGGAAGUAAAAGUCGUAACA